AGCAGCCGCGGUAAUUCCAGCUCCAAUAGCGUAUAUUAAAGUUGUUGCAGUUAAAAAGCUCGUAGUUGAAUUUCGGGAUCAAUACGUCGGUCGUGCUUCGGUACGUACUGGUGUCAUUGAUUUCUCCCUUCUGACGAACCAUGAUGUCAUUAACUUGGUGUCAUGGGAAAUCAGGACUGUUACUUUGAAAAAAUUAGAGUGUUUAAAGCAGGCUCACGCUUGAAUACAUUAGCAUGGAAUAAUGAAAUAGGACGUUCGAUCCUAUUUUGUUGGUUUCUAGGAUUGACGUAAUGAUUAAUAGGGAUAGUUGGGGGCAUUAGUAUUCAAUUGUCAGAGGUGAAAUUCUUGGAUUUAUUGAAGACUAACUACUGCGAAAGCAUUUGCCAAGGAUGUUUUCAUUAAUCAAGAACGAAAGUUAGGGGAUCGAAGACGAUCAGAUACCGUCGUAGUCUCAACCAUAAACGAUGCCGACCAGGGAUCGGCGGAUGUUGCUCUAAGGACUCCGCCAGCACCUUCUG
rnacentral:rRNA from 1 species